rnacentral:sRNA from 1 species
AUAUCUCUCUGUACGGGAAGGAUGAGAAGCUUCGACCAAGGUUCGAUUCGAGCGCAGCGAGAAAGCGUUGCCGCAGGCAACGACCCGAAGGGUGAGGAGCGGGCGACGAAUAAUCCUUCCCCCACCACCA